CGAACGCUGGCGGCGUGCCUAAUACAUGCAAGUCGAGCGAAUGGAUUAAGAGCUUGCUCUUAUGAAGUUAGCGGCGGACGGGUGAGUAACACGUGGGUAACCUGCCCAUAAGACUGGGAUAACUCCGGGAAACCGGGGCUAAUACCGGAUAACAUUUUGAACCGCAUGGUUCGAAAUUGAAAGGCGGCUUCGGCUGUCACUUAUGGAUGGACCCGCGUCGCAUUAGCUAGUUGGUGAGGUAACGGCUCACCAAGGCAACGAUGCGUAGCCGACCUGAGAGGGUGAUCGGCCACACUGGGACUGAGACACGGCCC
rnacentral:rRNA from 1 species